GACGAACGCUGGCGGCGUGCUUAACACAUGCAAGUCGAACGGUAAGGCCCUUCGGGGUACACGAGUGGCGAACGGGUGAGUAACACGUGGGUGAUCUGCCCUGCACUUCGGGAUAAGCCUGGGAAACUGGGUCUAAUACCGGAUAGGACCACUGCCUGCAUGGGUGGUGGUGGAAAGCUUUUGCGGUGUGGGAUGGGCCCGCGGCCUAUCAGCUUGUUGGUGGGGUGAUGGCCUACCAAGGCGACGACGGGUAGCCGGCCUGAGAGGGUGACCGGCCACACUGGGACUGAGAUACGGCCCAGACUCCUACGGGAGGCAGCAGUGGGGAAUAUUGCACAAUGGGCGCAAGCCUGAUGCAGCGACGCCGCGUGAGGGAUGACGGCCUUCGGGUUGUAAACCUCUUUCAGCACCGACGAAGCGCAAGUGACGGUAGGUGCAGAAGAAGGACCGGCCAACUACGUGCCAGCAGCCGCCGCGG
rnacentral:rRNA from 1 species